GUGCUCACUUCGGCAGCACAUAUACUAAAAUACAGAGAAGAUUAGCAUGGCCCCUACACAAGGAUGACACGCAAAUUCAUGAAGCGUUCCAUAGUUCA
ensembl:snRNA U6 U6 spliceosomal RNA